rnacentral:rRNA from 1 species
CAGUAGCCACGGGAAUACGGAGGGGGCUAGCGUUGUUCGGAAUUACUGGGCGUAAAGCGCGCGUAGGCGGUUACUCAAGUCAGAGGUGAAAGCCCGGGGCUCAACCCCGGAACUGCCUUUGAAACUAGGUGACUAGAAUCUUGGAGAGGUCAGUGGAAUUCCGAGUGUAGAGGUGAAAUUCGUAGAUAUUCGGAAGAACACCAGUGGCGAAGGCGACUGACUGGACAAGUAUUGACGCUGAGGUGCGAAAGCGUGGGGAGCAAACAGGAUUAGAUACCCCAGUAGUCCCUGUCUCUUAUAA